rnacentral:lncRNA from 1 species
CCCGACAAGGAUUGACCUUUCUCCUACGUAUUCUCAAAAUGAGAAAUCAGGGUUACGUAGUUCUAGAUGAAAGAUUGUUCGUUGGAAGAUGUUUUUAGUUUUUGAAGAUUUUUAUAUUUUUUGGUACUUUAUAUAUCAGAAAGAGAAAAGGUUUUCAACACAAGGCAGACAGAAUGGUCACACGUGCGCUUAAACCUUUU